rnacentral:lncRNA from 1 species
GGCUACCCUUCUCUUCUCUAGUUCACUCCAUUCACUCUUAGGUUUUUGCUCUUGAUUUCCAUCUAUCACUCUUGUGGGAAAGAAAGGACCAUUUUCUACAAUAUCCCACAAAUCAACUCCUUCCGAUUUGAGGAAAUAAUACAUUCUAUUUUUCCAAUAUAGAAAGUCAUUUCCAUCAAAGAAAGGUGGUCUCACAACCGAUUGACCUUCUU